GAUGAACGCUGGCGGCGUGCCUAAUACAUGCAAGUCGAGCGAACGGACGAGAAGCUUGCUUCUCUGAUGUUAGCGGCGGACGGGUGAGUAACACGUGGAUAACCUACCUAUAAGACUGGGAUAACUUCGGGAAACCGGAGCUAAUACCGGAUGAUAUUUUGAACCGCAUGGUUCAAAAGUGAAAGACGGUCUUGCUGUCACUUAUAGAUGGAUCCGCGCUGCAUUAGCUAGUUGGUAAGGUAACGGCUUACCAAGGCAACGAUGCAUAUCCGAACUGAGAGGGUGAUCGGCCACACUGGAACUGAGACGCGGUCCAGACUCCGACGGGAGGCAGCAGUAGGGAAUCUUCCGCAAUGGGCGAAAGCCUGACGGAGCAACGCCGCGUGAGUGAUGAAGGUCUUCGGAUCGUAAAACUCUGUUAUUAGGGAAGAACAUAUGUGUAAGUAACUGUGCACAUCUUGACGGUACCUAAUCAGAAAGCCACGGCUAACUACGUG
rnacentral:rRNA from 1 species